AUUGAACGCUGGCGGCAGGCCUAACACAUGCAAGUCGAGCGGAUGAAGGGAGCUUGCUCCUGGAUUCAGCGGCGGACGGGUGAGUAAUGCCUAGGAAUCUGCCUGGUAGUUGGGGAUAACGUCCGGAAACGGGCGCUAAUACCGCAUACGUCCUGAUGGAGAAAGUGGGGGAUCUUCGGACCUCACGCUAUCAGAUGAGCCUAGGUCGGAUUAGCUAGUUGGUGAGGUAAAGGCCUACCAAGGCGACGAUCCGUAACUGGUCUGAGAGGAUGAUCAGUCACACUGGAACUGAGACACGGUCCAGACUCCUACGGGAGGCAGCAGUGGGGAAUAUUGGACAAUGGGCGAAAGCCUGAUCCAGCCAUGCCGCGUGUGUGAAGAAGGUCUUCGGAUUGUAAAGCACUUUAAGUUGGGAGGAAGGGCAGUAAGUUAAUACCUUGCUGUUUUGACGUUACCAACAGAAUAAGCACCGGCUAACUUCGUG
rnacentral:rRNA from 1 species